CCCUGCCAUUUGUACACACCGCCCGUCGCACCUACCGAUUGAAUGGUCCGGUGAAGCCUCCGGAUUGCGCCGACCCCGUGUCGUGCGCGAGAAGCUGGCUGAACCUUACCAUUUAGAGGAAGGUGAAGUCGUAACAAGGUUUCCGUAGGUGAAC
rnacentral:rRNA from 1 species